CCUACGGGAGGCUGCUGUGGGGAAUAUUGGACAAUGGGCGAAAGCCUGAUCCAGCCAUGCCGCGUGUGUGAAGAAGGCCUUCGGGUUGUAAAGCACUUUCAGUGGGGAAGAAAGCCUUGGGGCUAAUACCCUCGAGGAAGGACAUCACCCACAGAAGAAGCACCGGCUAACUCCGUGCCAGCAGCCGCGGUAAUACGGAGGGUGCGAGCGUUAAUCGGAAUUACUGGGCGUAAAGCGCGCGUAGGCGGUCUGAUAAGCCGGUUGUGAAAGCCCCGGGCUCAACCUGGGAACGGCAUCCGGAACUGUCAGGCUAGAGUGCAGGAGAGGAAGGUAGAAUUCCCGGUGUAGCGGUGAAAUGCGUAGAGAUCGGGAGGAAUACCAGUGGCGAAGGCGGCCUUCUGGACUGACACUGACGCUGAGGUGCGAAAGCGUGGGUAGCAAACAGGAUUAGAUACCCCAGUAGUC
rnacentral:rRNA from 1 species